CAGCCAAACAUGGCAGUCGAGAUUAGCUAGCGAUUAUUAAACACCACAUAAUGAGCACAUUUAGACCUUUUUGCACAUUCAUUUACAGUUUGAUUUAGUUCAUACGGUACGAGGGGUGUCUUAAUGUAAAAAAAAUACGCGAUCUGUUGAAUAUCUCACAGAAACGCAAGCUUGUUCGCUAACUUAAACUAGCUGGUUAGCUAGCUGGCUAAUUCACCCCAUCCAGCGAAUAAAAUUACUGGCUAACCGUCUGCGAGUUUCAGGGCUGUGUUUUUGCUGGACAGUGAAGCAUCGUCACCAUGCUUUUGUCCCGGAUGAAACCUGCAGUGUCUGGUGAGGCGUCCACCAAUUCUAGCGAGAAGAAAAGAAAAAAUAAAACAAAACAAUUUCCAAGACUUGAGGAUUAUCUAAGCCAAAGAGACUACCUGGGUUCCCUGACUUUGUUAGAGUUCCAGCGUAAUGGCGGCGUGUCAGUGGAGCAUUCAGACCUUUGGAUCGGCUACUGUGCCUUUCAUUUGGGGGACCACAAGAGAGCAAUGGAGGAGUACAAAGCCCUCACUCUGAGGCCAGAUUGUCCAGUGGAUGUGUGGGUAUAUCUGGGCUGUUCCCUCUUUUUCCUGGGGCUUUAUAAAGAAGCUGAGGAGGCCGCAUUAAAAGGACUGAAGACUCAACUUCAAAAUCGCCUGCUUUUUCAUUUAGCACAUAAGUUUAAUGAUGAAAAGAAGCUGAUGGGUUUCCAUCAGAACCUGGAAGAUGUGACAGAAGAUCAGCUGAGUUUGGCCUCCAUUCACUACAUGCGCUCUCACUAUCAGGAGGCCAUUGACACCUACAAACGGAUCUUACUGCAAAACAGAGACUUGCUUGCCCUGAAUGUGUAUGUAGCUUUGUGCUACUAUAAACUGGAUUAUUAUGACGUAUCUCAGGAGGUUUUGGCUGUGUAUCUGCAGAGUAUUCCCGACUCUACCGUCGCCCUCAACCUUAAAGCCUGCAACCACUUCAGACUGUAUAACGGCAAAGCUGCUGAGACAGAGUUGAAGAACCUGAUUGAUAUCUCCUCCAGCUCUUUUCAGUUUGCUAAAGAGCUUAUCCAGCACAAUCUGGUGGUGUUUCGUGGGGGUGAGGGAGCUCUGCAAGUUUUACCUCCUCUGAUUGACGUCAUAUCAGAGGCCAGACUCAACCUGGUCAUCUACUAUCUUAGACAAGAUGAUAUUCAGGAGGCCUACAAACUUAUCAAAGACCUUGAGCCCACCACACCCCAGGAAUAUAUUCUGAAGGGAGUGGUAAAUGCUUCUUUGGGACAAGAAAUUGGAUCGAGGGACCAUUUAAAAAUUGCCCAGCAGUUUUUCCAGUUGGUUGGAGGCUCAGCCAGUGAAUGUGACACAAUACCUGGAAGGCAGUGCAUGGCCUCUUGUUUCUUCCUGCUGAAGCAGUUUAAAGAUGUGCUAAUAUAUCUCAAUUCAGUCAAGAAUUACUUUUACAAUGAUGACAGUUUCAACUUCAACUAUGCCCAGGCCAAGGCUUCCAUGGGAAACUACCGGGAGGCUGAAGAGGUUUUCCUGCUCAUCCAGAGUGAGAAGAUCAAGAAUGACUAUGUUUACCUGAGCUGGUUAGCUCACUGCUACAUCAUGAAUCAGAAGGCUCGUCAGGCCUGGGAGCUGUAUCUGAGGAUAGAAACAUCAUCUGACUCAUUCAGCCUCCUGCAGCUCAUCGCAAAUGACUGCUAUAAGCUUCCAGUUGGCCCUUGUCCCUCUCUGAGGCUUGAUUAGCCUGAUUAGGGGCCGGGUGUGCGGAAUCACGACCUGCCCUCCGCCCUGUCACAUUCCUCCCUUGUUCUUUCAGGCCGGGGAGCCCCCGGCAUAACGUGCACCCCUCCCUUUCACUGCGGAGGGGCGUGCCUUCCGCACCGUCUACUGGCAGGUCAUCCCUGUCUACCUGGAUGAGGGAGGAUUUAAGGGGAGGGAAACAAAAAUAAGUGUGGCACCUACAUGCCAUAAUGACGAUCGUGACAAAUUAACAAAAAACAUUUUAAAAAGAGAGGGAAAGGCCAACAGGGAGCGACAGUGGAAGAGCGAGAGGAAAGAGAAAAAAAACACUUACUCACCGGUUCUCCGAUACGCCGUAGCUUGGUCACUCCCCCACCCUCUAAUGGAUGACAGCCGUGCUUCCCCGGACGGAUCAACGGCAUACCUCCGGCCCCUGGUGGACGGAACAUCCCGCCACAUUUUUGGUGGACGAUGGGGCAGUUCUAUUAUGCAGCUA